ACACCAAACUUUGAAUUUCCGAUUAUAAAUCACAUCACUUCUAACUGUCCCUCUCUAAACAAUCUCCUUGUUCAUUGUCCACAAGGAUGUUCUAUAUAUUGUACAUGCAGUUAUCAGCUAAUAUUCCCAGCUACAGGAUCGCUGAACUGAUCUUGAUAAUGAAAACUGCCAGAGAAAUUGACAUACAUGCAUAAAAUGCCGAAGGAUCAGCAGGUCAGCAAGUGAAGAUAACCAUAAAACACAGAAGAGUUACUGAGGAGCAGAGGAUUUCUCCCCUCAGUCUCGAUCUCCAGGAUGUUCCACAGUGCAAGGGGAGGUAAACAGCCAGUUAGACAGCUCAUGAUGCAGGUCCACCUCCAAGUUGGCUAAUCAUUUGACAGUAUUCAAAAGAUCUGGGUUCAUUUCAAAGAGAGUUAAUCCAGGUAAAAACAGAAAAAAAUUCAUAUAUUUCUUGUUUGUUUAUUUUUAUAUUUUCACCUGAAUCCAAAUCCAUAAGAUUUAAUUUAAAUUUAGCAUUUCUGUACCUAUAGCUCAUACACAUUAUGAGCUCAUGCUUAUUGAAUAACAAUCUCAUAUUUGUUUACUUUGAUAUUUACUGACCUACUUUGAUGAAUUCAGAGAAUAUACAUUACAUUGUGCUUUAAUUUUCCAAGAAAGACAGGUAAAUCAUUCAGUCAUGUACUGAACAAAUUUAAAUGCUGUUUUGUCAUAAGUGCCUGUUCAGUGAAUUGUAUAUAUUAUUUAAUAUCUUCAAAAUCACAUUUUCAAAAACACAUUUUUAUCUUUCACAUUUUGGCACGGCACACUAAGGUGUGCCCUAUCUCAACAUUUCAUUAUACAAGUGCACACGACACACAACUUUGAUAUACAUCCUGUUCAAAACUUGAUGUAGGCAACACCAACUCAAUCAUAUGCGUCAUUCAUUUCUAUUCAAUCCUACGCCACAGAUUAUGCAAUACAUGUGGUUCAAGGAGAGACAUUGUGUAUCUCACAUGACAGAGUAAACCUCAUCAUAUUUUGCAUGUAUUAAGAAAUCUACAUUUAAAUAUGUGAAGUGUGGUUUUGUUCUCGAUGGAAAUAUACCUGAACAUCAAGGAUUCCUGGCUCCUGGGUCAUUUGAUUUUGUAUUUUUUUGACACACGAUUUACAGGUCAUGCCUUCAAUAUGAAGUUCUGUUACUUUCUCCAUUUUGUCUUUUUCUUCUACAUAAAGAAAGAUAAAAACUAGUCAUUUUUAAUCUGCAUCAUAAAACAAUAAAACAUGUAUAGUUAUGCCCCACUUGUACAAUUAAGUUAAGAGAAUAUUUUCACAUAACAUUAAUUACAUCAUCCCAUUUCUGUUAAAUCCAAGUUCAUAAUACAAAUAUGUACAUAUAUCUUUAACUAAAACCACAAACAUAAGAAAUACAGGUGACUCUCGAUGACUCAAACUUCGAUCUCUCGAAGUUCUUGAUUACUUGAAGUGAAAUCAUGGUCUCGAUUUUUCUCUCUAUAAAACUAAGCAAAUUUACUCUCGAUCUCUCGAACAUUCGAUCUCUCAAUGAAAGUUCUCGAUCUUUCCAAGUGAAAUUUGGGUCCCAUACAACAUACAUGUAUUUCAUUGUUUUUAACUCUCCAUCUCUCCAAGUGGUGGCAGCAUAUACACAUCAUCACUCAAGCAUGGAAUUAUUUGGACUUAAUAAUGAGACAUUACAUUUGUAAUUAUAAGAAUAUAAUCUAGAGACAUGCCAAGGAAACAUUGUUAUUUAUUGGUCCAGGAAUGUGUGCUUUGUGUACAACGACUGGAAUUUGAGAUGAUAUUAUUAAGUAGGUAUUGACGGCAAAACUUUGUUAUGUACGAGAAAUUUGUCUUGUAAAUAUGUACAUGUACAUCUAUCUUAACAUUAAAAAAGAAUAAAUACAUACCUAAACUUUAAAAAAUCUAUCUAUGAAAGAUCAAGUCCAGUGCUGUUGAAAUCAGGUCAAUUAUUACCUACUACUAUAAAGGACAUGUCAAAACAAUGCCAGGAUGUUGAUGUACUCCAGUUAUUAUAAAUUCGAGAGAGGUUUUUCUAAGUUGCUAGAACUUGUAACCAAUCCCUUUGUAUAUUCAUAUACAAUAAAAUAUGUUCAAAUCAAAUAUAAAAUCUGAACCAUAAUGGCCAUCCUUUAAUUUCCGGAUUUGACUCGACCUUCGAUUUCUCAAUCUCGUAAUUUUAUCAAGGUCCCUUGAACUUCGAGAUAUCGAGAGUCACCUGUACUGUAACUGCAUUCCCAUGAUUCCUUGUUCUGCAUAGGGUUUAUACGUAUAUCAUGCACUUUGUAACCUAUAUCAUGCACUCUGUAUAUAGUGAUCAGUAAAACAGUGUUACUGUCUGAUUUUUUAAAUGAUCAUGAAGCUAGCUAGAUGAUGCUACAGUUUUGAUAAAUAAUAUAUGUAUCCCCAAUAUUACAAUGGAAACAGAAAAGUUACAUAAUAUACUUCUACUAUCAUCAGUUAAAGAGAUAUCUAUGGAUUUCAAAUAAAACCUGUUCUACUGACUUGUCAAUGCUUAAAAAUUAAUAUCAAAAAACAAAUAAAUUCAUAGACACAUGUGAACAUUUCAUCAAUAUUUUUUCUACACAGGAUAUUAUUUUCAUGACCAUAUAUGAUUUUCGCUUCCUGGACAAAAUUAAGUGUACGUAUAAUUCACUCCAAUCACCAGCGUAUCUUUUCCCUAUUAAACUUUUUCUCUUCCCCUUUAUCCCCCUCUCUGUUUUGUUUACUUUGUAUGUGAAGUAAUCUUCAAUCUAUGUUUACUCAAACUCUUUACACUAUUUCUUGUUGAUGUUUUUCAUUCCAUGACAUUACGUAAUUUUUCUCUCGUGAUGAAGGAUCACCCUCACCUUCAGGAGGUGGUUUUCAUAAACUCCGCCUGCUGUCUAAUCGCUAUUAUGACUUACACAACAAAUAUUGUUUAAAUCAAUUCUGCAGCUAAAAUUAAUUUCUUCUAUUCACAAUCACAUCAAUUCAAUUACUAUAUGGGUAGUGCUUAAUUUUAUUCUCAUUUGUAAUGUUGUCCUAAAAAACAGGAAGUUCUUUUUUUAGACAUAACUUGAUAUUACUGUCAUGCAUCAAUUUGGAAAAUGCUAUCACUUUAACACUUCUCGCUAGCAACAAUUCCAACUGUUAAUUAACACUCAAUUAUCAACAGCAAAAUUACUACCAAUACAGAGUCCCUUCCUUUUAUGAUAUUGUGUGAAUUUAAGUACACUUAAACCUAUAUACAUCUGUAAUAUGAAAAUACAGCUCAGUGUGGAACUCUCCUGGGUAUACGCUAAGGAUGAAACUCGACACCGAGUCUUUGAACUACAUUAACUAUGAUUAUGAUGAUGUUAACUUGUUAGUACCAAGUUCCCCAUUCACUACUUCAUUCUUCAAAUUUCCAGCACUCUUAACAAUGGCUCUACAUUUUUGUUUUCUCAAUUUAAGAGAAGAAAACAUGGUGAGAACAGCUAAGGAAAAAAAACACCUCCAUUAACCUUUUAAAAUUGCUGACAUUUUAUACACUUGUUGCUUACAUGUACACAUGUUUAUAUUUAGUUUCUUUUUACAUUUAUACAAAAUCAAGUACAUAUAUAUAUGACACUUUAACAAUAUACAAAUACCAUAUUAAAAAAAAAAAAAAAAAAAAAAAAAAAAUAUGACAGCUUGACCAUCAAAAGCCCAUAAGCAGAUGAAAGAAAUCAACGACAGAAAUUUCAUGUGUGCCACCUCAAUGUCACAAAAUUACAACACUUACCCGACAUUGUGAUGGGAUCCUGGUAACUUGUAAAGUAAGAAUAUCAAUUUUAUUAAAGAUACUACAUCUGUAAACCUGAACACUCCUUUUUUGUGAUAAGCAGAGAAAGGUUGACUAUUAAACUAUUCUGAAAAGUAAAUAAACAUGUCUAUACCCUCACAUCCUGUUUCGAUUACUAUUGGCAUACCUUUUUUUUUCUAGUUAAAUCUACAGCACAUCAUGAUCCAACUACCACAGCACGUUCUGGAUGGUUAGGUUUUACAGAGUGUUCAUAUACCAGUUAAGAUGUCACGUUGAGGAGGAAUUGUACCAAAUACCAUUACCUAAAAAGUCCUACGCUUCAUAGAUAGAGCUAUUAUACUAAAUGUCGCAAAAUACAUAAAAAAAAAGGUACAAUAACUCUCAUUUAAGGCCAUACACGACAUUUCUGACUUUUUUAAAAAAAAAACAAAACUCAUUUCCUCAUCUUGAUAUGAAGAGUUGUAUGAUUUUUCUGAGAUAGAUUUAGAUUUUCUAUAUUGUAGUAUUGUUACCAUACUACAUAUAUUGGCUGAUUAACUCGUGGUUAGAUCACCUAAUAUUAAAUAAGUAAUGUAGAGGUCCAAGGUUCAAUACCCAAUUGAUCCAAGGAUUUCUCUCCCCUUCUUUGCUAAACUUGUAUUAUUUACAUGUACACACACACACUUCACAGUUUUACUUGCAACAACUGGCAACUAUAAAAUAUCCUAACUCUAAAAUACUCCAGUGUUUUUGUAGAAACAAUAUAGGAUGCAAGUGAAAUGUACAUGUACUUGAAAUGUCACAUUUCAGAAAUAUAAAGUAUGACCUUAAUCUGACUUUUACUUGCUGACUUGGUUGUAUGCGUACAUAGGCAAUUAGAUAAUUUGGGUUUGAAUUUAUCAUUAAAGAGUACCCAUGCAAGCAGUAUAAUUGUCUGUAUAUGUACAUAGGUAAUGGGACCUAUUUUUAAUGAAAAAUUCCACUUUCUGUGCAUUUGUGUUUUAAACAUGAAAGAUAAAGCAAUAUACACGUACAUACUAAGGCUUCUUCCAGGGUCUGUAGAAACAAAAUUUUCAAAUGCAUCAUUGUUGAUGUAAGAGUUACUGUUCUUUGCAAGAUAUUUUUUUUUUUCAACUUUAAUGUCAUUGAUUAUUCUGAUAAGUAAUCACUAUAUGUAAAUAUGUGUAUUGUUUUUGUCAUGCAACAUGCUUAUUCAAUUGAUACCAAAAUAUAACCAUGCCAUCUAUUAAUCAAUAGUCUGUAUGUACAUCUUCUCUUUCAGAGAAUAUUGCUAUAUUACAGACACAUAUAAUAUAUUCUUUAAGUUUAUUUUUUACCACAACUGUCUUGAUGUAACAUAACAGUGUAUGUAGGGAAAUAGUCCCUUUAUUGUGAUUUCUAAACAUAAUCCUGCAUGUGUGUAUGGAAAAAAUCUUUGUCUCAUUAUGUUUUUUUCAGUUAUUUAAAUACAGCUUCAGAUGGUACAUGGUUAUUCAACCCCGGCUUAAUGUAGCCUAUCAGAAUACAUCCUUCUAGUUAAAUAAAAAAUAUAUGAAUUAUAUUACUGAAAUGAAAAUUUAUCUAAACAUACUAUCAAAGUGAAUUUAGCAAUAAAUAAUGAUCAUUGUACAAGGUACAUGUAAUAGUAUUCAGACAUUUGGUACUAAUAGUAAUGUAACAGUACUGUUGUUAAAAUUUUCCAAAUUGAUACUAGGAGAAAUACUGUAAUGUAAACCAGAUUAUUCAUAUAAUUUCAUAUUAUAUAGCAUCCUUGUUAUACAGUGCAUUUUCAAUCAGUAUUGUUAUGAGCCAAUUCCAGACCAAUGUCAAUAUAGAAAUCCUUAACAUGUGUGUAUAUGGUAUCAUGUAGUUAUAAUGUUUAAUUGUUUAAAUUGUAUAUGCCCCCUGAGGGCCUGGCUGGUGAAUAAAUAUUAUAUUGUA